rnacentral:pre_miRNA from 1 species
AAUAAAUCAAUCUUUCACUUUUUACCUAUAAUGUUUGAUUUUUUAUCUUAUUUGAAAAAAUUACGAUUAAUAUUUUUUAUUAGAUGAUAAAUUAUGAAUAGUACUUUAAGUGUGACUAAUUUUUUUAAAAUUUCGUGAAAAUUUUUCAAAUAAAACGGAUGAUCAAACGUUGGACAAAAAACCAAAG